rnacentral:rRNA from 1 species
GAUGAACGCUGGCGGCGUGCCUAAUACAUGCAAGUCGAGCGAACAGACGAGGAGCUUGCUCCUCUGACGUUAGCGGCGGACGGGUGAGUAACACGUGGAUAACCUACCUAUAAGACUGGGAUAACUUCGGGAAACCGGAGCUAAUACCGGAUAAUAUAUUGAACCGCAUGGUUCAAUAGUGAAAGACGGUUUUGCUGUCACUUAUAGAUUGAUCCGCGCCGCAUUGUCUAGUUGGUAAGGUAACGGCUUACCAAGGCAACGAUGCGUAGCCGCCCUGAGAGGGUGAUCGGCCACACUGGAACUGAGACACGGUCCAGACUCCUACGGGAGGCAGCAGUAGGGAAUCUUCCGCAAUGGGCGAAAGCCUGACGGAGCAACGCCGCGUGAGUGAUGAAGGUCUUCGGAUCGUAAAACUCUGUUAUUAGGGAAGAACAAAUGUGUAAGUAACUAUGCACGUCUUGACGGUACCUAAUCAGAAAGCCACGGCUAACUACGUG